rnacentral:lncRNA from 1 species
GACGGCGUCGCGCGAGGGACAAGGUGCGCGAGGCGCACGCAUCUUCACCUCCACUGUCGGGAGUUGACCUGCUCCUCCCGCGUGGUUACCCGUCGCUGUAAAUGAUCACAACAUCCAGUUUCUCCUCAUCUCCAUGAUCUCGCUGUCUUCCAGCUUCCACUCAUGCCCCUCGCAUUCAUUAUCCGUCUGCAGCCACAGGACAGAUAAUUAUCCAAACAAAAAAAAUGCAGGAAAUAUUCUGGAUCCCCGAGCAGUCUUCUCAACUGGUACGAGGAAAAGUCAAGAAAAGCCCCUUUGAGAAGGUCUCCCUGGAAGACAGGCCCAUGAAGAGCUGAAGAAAGAAGUGGGAGGACAGAGGAGAACUCACACAAGGGGAUCAAGCUGGUGAAAACUGGAGAACCAGGCAGGGCCUGUGGAAGACUUCAUCUUGGCAGAGGGAAAAGGCUUCCAAGAAUCUUCCAGUUAUGCAAAGGCAAGGCCCAGCGGUACAUCUGGACAGAGUAGGGAUUGAGACAAGGAUGAAGGGGCUUUUCCGAAUAAAGUUGUGUUUUCCUUUGAUGAAAA